rnacentral:rRNA from 1 species
GAUGAACGCUGGCGGCGUGCCUAAUACAUGCAAGUCGAGCGAACGGACGAGAAGCUUGCUUCUCUGAUGUUAGCGGCGGACGGGUGAGUAACACGUGGAUAACCUACCUAUAAGACUGGGAUAACUUCGGGAAACCGUAGCUAAUACCGGAUAAUAUUUUGAACCGCAUGGUUCAAAAGUGAAAGACGGUCUUGCUGUCACUUAUAGAUGGAUCCGCGCUGCAUUAGCUAGUUGGUAAGGUAACGGCUUACCAAGGCAACGAUGCAUAGCCGACCUGAGAGGGUGAUCGGCCACACUGGAACUGAGACACGGUCCAGACUCCUGCGGGAGGCAGCAGUAGGGAAUCUUCCGCAAUGGGCGAAAGCCUGACGGAGCAACGCCGCGUGAGUGAUGAAGGUCUUCGGAUCGUAAAACUCUGUUAUUAGGGAAGAACAUAUGUGUAAGUAACUGUGCACAUCUUGACGGUACCUAAUCAGAAAGCCACGGCUAACUACGU